rnacentral:lncRNA from 1 species
CGUCUAAGAAUAGCCCUCUCCGUAAAUAACAUAUGAAGUUUAAGCUGGGCUAUACGGUCCCGCAUGAUAGGAAGCCUGACAAUGGAUUACUUUCCACUUAUUUUCGGCUGUUUUCAAGAAAGUUUUCUUUGACACGUUCUGGCUGUAAUUUCCUUCUGUGAUCGUAUAUUUCCUCCCGGGAACCCAAUCGAAAGAUUCUACUUCACAAUCAACAUUUUCAAGACCGGAAACACCGCCGAAUUCGGACGAAAAAUCAACGACUUCGCACAGACCUUUUCUGAUGCAGUCUAUUCUGCUGGUUCAAGAAUAAUCUCUCAUCUUGGAAAAUGAAAACGAAUAAACCUGCUCAAAAUAGGGUUCCUGCCAUCAAUAAUGUAGCUGCUAAAGAGGCACCAUCCCCAAAACCUGCAAAAGUUGCUAAGGCAGAGAAGGCCUGCAAGCCUGCAAAUGUAAAAGUUGUUGAUGUGGUCCUGAAGCAGUCUACAGAGAAAAACCCUCCUAACCCACAACAGAAUGCUGAGGUCAAUGCUUUAUCCAAAGCAAAUUCUCCCAUCGCUGCUCAGUCACCAACCACCUGCCAGCUGGCACCUAAACAACCUCCCACCGUCUGUCAGCAGCCUCAAAAGCAGUCCUCCACUAAACCUCCACCCCCUUCCAACCCAUCAGUUUCUCCUAACCCUCCACUUCCCACCAUCCCACCACCUUUAAGUAUGCUCAACCUCUCACCACUCAUCACCUUCCUCCACUCCUCAACCGACCACCAAUCCCCCACCGUCUGGUAAAUCCACCAUCCCCACAUCGCCCUCUAUUCCCCCCUCAUCUACUACUCCCUCAUCAUCCACCGUUCCCUCGUCUACCAAUGUUCCUGCAUCGUCCACUGUUCCCCCUCCUUCCUCAAUCCUCCAGACGCCACUUCCCAACCAUCACAGUUAUCCAUCCCCCGCAAACCCCCACUACCACUAAUUCAACCCACGACGCAUCAGCUAGCCCUCAACCCAUCACAACUCAACUCCCGCAACCCAGCAAGUUGCUGCAAAUGUAGAUAAUGACCUGGGAAAUCUGAUGCUUCUCGUGUCAAUAACCGAU